AAAAUUCUUUAUUCAAACAUAGCAGUUAUGAGACUCUUCCUUUUCAUUUCUUUUUCAGCUCAUUAAUGCAAGUAGAAUGGAAAGAAAACAAUUUACUCUUUUGAUUGACUUUACUGAAGUACACAGCAGAGGUCUUCGAUAUCAAUACAGUCCAUUUUUACUGUGAUUUGUGGUAUCCCCACCUGGCCUUCAUUCUCACUGGAGGGAUGUGCUCCCCAAGAGAAGGGUCUCUG
rnacentral:lncRNA from 1 species